rnacentral:tRNA from 1 species
UCCCCGGUAGCUCAGUCGGUAGAGCAGGUGGCUGUUAACCACCCCGCCGCUGGUUCGAGUCCGGCCCGGGGAGCCA